rnacentral:misc_RNA from 1 species
GAAAUGCGAUAAAUAAUGUGAAUUGCAGAAUUCCGUGAAUCAUCGAAUCUUUGAACGCACAUUGCGCCCACUGGUAUUCUAGUGGGCAUGCCUAUCCGAGCGUCGUCUCCACCCUCAGACCACAGGGGAUCCACCCCCGGGUUAGGUCUUGGGGAUCUGCCCCCUUACGGUGGCCGGUCCCCUAAAUAUAGUGGCCGAGUGUGGCCAGCCCCCUUUACGUAGUAGAUACUAUCCGUUUAGGGGGCGGCCCAUCCCCGUGCCAGGACGCUCCAGGGGCGCCCCCAGACCGGGCGCCGCGGGGCAACCUUACUCGCUAAGUGACCUCGGAUUAGGUAGGAGUACCCGCUGAACUUAA